rnacentral:rRNA from 1 species
UUAUAUUUUAUUUAUUAAAAUUUUUUUUUUAUAUCAUAAGUUAUUAAAAAUAAUUAUUAAAAGGUUUGUUUGAGUAUUUUAUAAAGAAAAAAUAAUUUUAAUUAUAGUUAAAUAGUAUUGUGAAAGAAAAUUGAAAUAAUUUGAAAAAUUAAUAUUUUAAAAGAAAAUUUAAUUUAUUGUACCUUGUGUAUCAGGGUUUAUUAAAUAAAGAUUAUUUAGUAUAAUUUUCUCGAUUUUAAAAGAGUUAAUAUAUUAUAAAAGUUAAUGUGACAAAAUUAUUUUAUAUAAUAUAUUAGAAAUGAAAUGUUAUUCGUUUUUAAAGGUAUCUAGUUCUUUAAGAAAUAAAUUUAAUUUAGAAAUUUUAUAUUAUUUAAUUAAAUAUAUUAAUUAAAUAAUUAUUUAAUUUUAAUAUUUUAUGGGAUAAGCUAUAAAAUAAAUUAUUAAAAAUUGUUAAAUAAUUUAAUAAAUAUAAGCUUAGAAAUAGCUAUUAUUAAUGAAAUUGUUAUAAUUUAUUUUAUUACAAUAAUUAUUUAUUUAAUUUUAAUUAUGUAUUAAAGUAUUUAUUUUAAUUAUAAAAAUAAAAAAAUAAUGAUAAAAUUAGUAUAUUAUAUUGUAUAAAUAUAAUUAAUUGAUAAGUUUUUAUAAAGAACUCGGCAAAAAUAAUGUUCGCCUGUUUAACAAAAACAUGUCUUUUUGAAUUUUUUUAAAAGUCUAGCCUGCCCACUGAAUAAUUUAAAUGGCCGCAGUAUACUAACUGUGCAAAGGUAGCAUAAUCAUUAGUCUUUUAAUUGAAGGCUGGUAUGAAUGGUUGGACGAGAUAUUAACUGUUUCAUAAAAAUUUAUAAUAGAAUUUUAUUUUUUAGUCAAAAAGCUAAAAUAAAAUUAAAAGACGAGAAGACCCUAUAAAUCUUUAUAUAUAUAGAUUAUUAGAAUUUUGUAGAUUUUUUUUAUUAUAAUAGUUGAUUGUAUUUUAUUGGGGUGAUAUUAAAAUUUAAUUAACUUUUAAUUUUUAAAGUCAUUAAUUUAUGAAUAAUUGAUCCGUUAAUAACGAUUAAAAAAAUAAGUUACUUUAGGGAUAACAGCGUAAUUUUUUUGGAGAGUUCAUAUCGAUAAAAAAGAUUGCGACCUCGAUGUUGGAUUAAGAUAUAAUUUUAGGUGUAGCCGCUUAAAUUUUAAGUCUGUUCGACUUUUAAAUUCUUACAUGAUCUGAGUUCAAACCGGCGUAAGCCAGGUUGGUUUCUAUCUUUAAAAAAUAAAAAUAUUUCAGUACGAAAGGACCUAAUAUUUAAUAAAUAAUUAUUUUAAUAUUGAAUAUAAUUAAUUUAU